AGUGCAUCCAUGGAUAGGUUCAUAAUCAAUUAUUUCUCCAAACAACUUUUAGUAAUUGGGUUCUGCCUCAGGCAUCCCUUCAGCAAGCGUGUGGCGCCUCCACUAAAAAUCCUGGUUAGAUCCAACCAUUAACAUGAUACAUCAAGUGCAUCCAACAAACAGAUGUCCAGGCUCGAGUGUGACUCGACCAACCUAAGCAUUGAUCUGAAGAUACAUC
rnacentral:lncRNA from 1 species